UCACUGUCUUAGGAGAUCUUCGGGGGAAUAACACCCAUGGCAAUUCCGUCUCCUGUGCUAACAGUGCUUUCUUCUGGAUACCUCCUAAAAGACCAACCUGAGUUUCACAGUUAACUUUUUUAUAUAUAUAUAAGUAGAAUGAGCAUACUCUAAAAUAAUGAUUAAAAAAUAGUCUGGUAAAUAAAUAAACCAGUAACAUAGUUGUUUAUUAUCUUUACCAGGUAUUAUGUACUGUACUUAAUUGUAUGUGCUAUAGACUUUUCUAGGACUGCUAGGUGUGUUCAUGCCAGCAUUACCACAAACCCAUGAGUAAUGGGCUCGCUGUGACAUCACUGAGCAAUAGGAAACUUUUAGCUCCAUUACAAUCCCAUCUCACCACCAUCUUACACAUAAUUCCUUGAUCAACCCAUCCUUGUGCUGUGCCUGACUGUAGUUAAGCAACGCUGCUACUAAGAAGGCACCAGAGACCUGGGGGCAGCCAGGGGAUUGCGACAUGCAAAAAUCAGAGAUCCACUGAGUCACAUCCCAGCAGGUGGCUGGCGGGUAUGAGAUGGAAAUUCAGAUUCCGGAGCCAUGUGUUUAACCAUUACAACUACCCAUCCCUUCCUUGAGUGUAUGUGGAAUUGUCACUACGGUGAGCCCCGCCUACCAGGAGACAUUCUUGAAUGGAGUAUGGAUUACACCCUAUGCGAGACUUUAUACCAUGAUCUGUUUAAAACCUGAGCCUGCAUUUCUACAGAUCUUAAUGAAAAACAGCGUUUUUUAGUAAGGCUACUUGUUUUCUGAUUUUCUUCCUAUUUACACUUUUCCCUACUGAAUGAAUGAGUUUGAACUUCUGGCUUCACCUUUAUGUAUUUCAAAAUUUGUUAUCUCUGUAACACCGACCUUCUCCCAUUUAACGCAUGAAUUUCAUGUAUUGGAAUUAGAAAACGGGACAAUGCCUUGUGUGGUGUGAAUUGUCUUUAUGUUUGCUGAUCCCUGUGUAGAAGAAGAACAUCACCAUCUCGUCUCUAACACUCAGUCCCAACCCCUUUAGCCCAUCCAUAGAACACACCCAGAGAAUAUCCACGCAGGUGUGGGACACGGAGCUCCGUGUCCACGUCCACUCACAGGCCUCUGUUUGUACAGCCGCUCACUCCUAUCUGUUCUGACCUCAGCUUACCAGCCUGUCCCCACAAGCUGCACCUCUGUUUCUCCACUUGUAGCCCGUCCUGGCACCUGACCUUCUGAGAGGGGCUAGGGAAUCUGAAAAUGCACAUGUCUUCACUUUGUAUGUGUGUUUUUUCCAGAGCCAGUUACAUCAAAAUGCUGUUCAAUUAGGAAAUAGAACUAAUGAACAUAUCCCCCAAUCUAUUUCUUUCUCACCAGGAAUGUGGACUUUGUAGACUUCCUGACAGACUCCCCGAGAGAAGGAGAAAUACUCUGGCCUUUCACAGGGACCACCCUCUCCCUGAAGGUUAUUGGAUGAAUCACUAAAUGCAACAGAUCCUGUUGAAACCUGCAAAGUUGUUAUAAAAACAGAUGGACCAGGACUUCCGCAAUAACUGUUUGGAUGGGCAGCCAUUCGUCUGUCAUCUUUAGAAGGGAACACUUUUACACUGCUGGUGGGACUGCAAACUAGUACAACCUUUCUGGAAGGAAGUAUGGAGAAACCUCAAAGCACUCAAGCUAGACCUCCCAUUCGAUCCUGC